AAAAGUAGUUUUCUUCUUAUUAGAUUACAGAGCAAGGGUAGUAAUAUAUUUGUGGAUAAAAUCCACGCUGGAGGAAUUUUUAAUGACACAAGGUACAGUUAAAUGGUUCAACGCAGAAAAAGGUUUCGGUUUCAUCGAAGUUGAAGGUGGAGAUGACGUAUUCGUACAUUUCUCAGCUAUCCAAGGUGACGGUUUCAAAUCACUUGAAGAAGGUCAAGCUGUUUCAUUCGAUAUCGAGCAAGGUGCUCGUGGACCUCAAGCUGCUAACGUAACUAAGUAAUAACAUAAAAGAAGGACUCCUUAUUGGGGUCCUUUUUUAU
rnacentral:sRNA from 1 species